AUAGAUUUUUUCCUUUAUAAAUUGCUGCCUCCCUACAUGUGUGGUCAAAUAGGGAGGCAGCAAGUUAUAAAUGGAAAAAACACUUGU